rnacentral:lncRNA from 1 species
UCAUCAUUGGGGUAUCUAGUUUAAAAAUUGUGUCAGGUGACCCGGCCAACCAAUCAAGAUGGCCGCCAUGGCUAAAAAUAGAACAUAGGGGUAAAAUGCAGUUUUUGGCUUAUCACUCAAAAACCAAAGCAUUUAGAGCAAAUCUGACAUGUGGUAGAAUUGCUUAUCAGGUCAAGAUCUAUCUGCAACAACAAAAGAAAGAGAGUUUUUAACGACCUCAGCUGGCUAUACAACCCUUACACAAUCAACUGAAUUUUGCAGAAAUCAUUAAUAGGAUAGAUUGCCCUUAUAUGAUAAUUUUUUAUUACCUUUUUGGUUUUUUUUGGCAAAGUGGGGGGGGGGGGGGGGGGGUGGUUUGCGCAACAACAAAACUACUUCACAACUUUCUCAUUACUUUGCAUUUCUUGUUAGAUAAAUUUUACAAAAAUUCUCCCC